rnacentral:rRNA from 1 species
AAACAUCUUUGUAAGAUAAUUGUUUAUGAUAUUGUCUGCUCAAUGCUUAAGUAAAUAGCUGCAGUAUUUUGACUGUACAAAGGUAGCAUAAUCAUUAGUCUUUUAAUUGAAGGCUUGUAUGAAAGACUAGACGUAAUCUUUACUUUUUUAAAAAUAUGAUAUUUUAAUUUAGUUUUUUAGUUAAAAAACUAAAGUAAAUUAAAGGGACGAGAAGACCCUAUAGAAUUUUAAAAUUGUCAAAUAACUUUUUUUGGUUGGGGUGACCAGAAAAAAACUUUUCUUUUAAAUUUGCAUUUAAGUGUAUAAAUGAUCCUGUAAUUUAGAUAAUAAGAUAAAAUUACCUUAGGGAUAACAGCAUAAUUUUUUUUUGAAGAUCUUAUUUAUGAAAGAGAUUAUGACCUCGAUGUUGAAUUAAUAUAUUAUUUAGGCGUAGAAUUUUAAAUA